GGAGCGCAGCACAGCCUGUCCCAUCGAGAAGCCUCGGGUGAGGGGCCCGGUGGGCGCCCGGAGGCCGCUGGAGGGCUGUGGGAGGGACGGUGGCUCCCCACUCCCGUGGCGAAGGGCAGGCAAACCAGAAGCCUCUUUUGAGAGCCGUUUGGGAUUGAGACGAGUGGACAUGGACUCCAUGGAAGCCUGAGCUGCCAGGGGCUUCCCUGGGGCAGCACUGCUUCGCGUAGGCUCACGAGAAACUUCCAGGGUUCCUGGGUAAGGAAGACACAGCAAGAGCUGGCCUCUGCCGCAUCUGCCUUUGUCACCAGACGCCCAUCUUUAGGGCACCUCUCUCUCCGCUGCUUGAGUUUUAGGGUCUUGCCAUAAAACUUCAUUAAGGCCUCCCAGGCGAGGCUCAAAGCACCCUGCCCCGCGUAGGAAAAGGUUCAGAGCACAUAGAGAAAAGAGCAAGGUUGCACCCCAAAAGAAUGACAGGCAGGGAGACAAAUGCUGGCUCAGCCAGCCUGACUCCAUUCCCUGGGGGGCCGAGAGGGAUGUACGAUGGGUCUUGUGAGGGUGGAGGGUGCCUGCCUCGCCCGAGGGAUGCUGUGCCCAUGCCCCUGCUGCCAGUUCACCCAAAGCAGUUGACGUUUUUAAACGAGCACAAAGUCUCUGCUCUUCAGAGUGUGACGGGCUGCCCCUGUCUGCAAAAGCUGUCCCCGAAUAGGCUUUCUCUGAGCUUGUUACCGUGGAGGGCUGGGCCCGGUUUCUAAUCGCCCCCUUCACCGGGCUGCCUGCCGCUGGCUGCGGAAAGUGUGGGUUUGGCUGCAUGAUGGCCUCGUAAUGGCUGUGGUGACGCCCUCUGCGUCUUCUCCCAGCGCCAGCCUUUCAACAGAGCAGCACAUUAUGCCUGGAUAAGACUCAAAGAGCAGCUUAAUAUCAGGUUCUCUGGGGCUGUAAUCAUCGGUUCAGGAUGGAGCAGACACAGCCGCAGCAAGGCCUCUGUGCAGCCCCCGGUUUAAAACACAUCAACGCAUCCGUGGGCACUUUUGUGAGUUAAAGCUCAACUUACACAUCUGCCUGUAUCCAUAGGAAAUGAAUGAAAAUAAACAAACAAAUUCCUUGC
rnacentral:lncRNA from 1 species